GCCAGGCACAGUGGCACAUGCCUGUAAUCCCAGCAGCUUGGGAGGCUGAGACAAGAGGAUCACUGGUUCAAAGCCAAUCUCAGCAAAAGCGAGGCACUAAGCAACUUGAUGAGAUCCUGUCUCUA
rnacentral:sRNA from 1 species